GUCGAGCGAAGCUUUUCAGUAGUUUACUACAGAAAAUGACUGAGCGGCGAACGGGUGAGUAACGCGUGAGCAAUCUACCUUAGUUACAGGGAUAGCCCGAGGAAACUCGGAUUAAUACCUGAUAUUCUUUAAAUUUCGCAUGAAAUUAAAAGGAAAGGUCAGCCGAACUAAGAUGAGCUCGCAUUCUAUCAGCUAGUUGGUGAGGUAAAAGCUCACCAAGGCAACGACGGAUAGCUGGUCUGAGAGGACGAUCAGCCACACUGGGACUGAGACACGGCCCAGACUCCUACGGGAGGCUGCAGCAGGGAAUAUUGCGCAAUGAGCGAAAGCUUGACGCAGCGACACCGCGUGUGGGAUGACGGAUCUAGGUUUGUAAACCACUUUCAGGAGGGAAGAAAAUGACGGUACCUCCACAAGAAGCCCCGGCCAACUACGUGCCAGCAGCCGCGGUAAUACGUAGGGGGCGAGCGUUGUCCGGAUUUAUUGGGCGUAAAGAGCUCGUAGGCGGUUCAACAAGUCGGUCGUAAAAGUUCAGGGCUCAACCCUGAAAUGUCGAUCGAUACUGUUGUGACUAGGAUACGGUAGAGGUGAGUGGAAUUCCGAGUGUAGCGGUGAAAUGCGUAGAUAUUCGGAGGAACACCAAUUGCGAAGGCAGCUCACUGGGCCGCUAUCGACGCUGAGGAGCGAAAGCUAGGGGAGCAAACAGGAUUAGAUACCCUGGUAGUCCUAGCUGUAAACGAUGGAUACUAGACGUAGGAACUGGAUUGACGGUUUCUGUGUCGUAGCUAACGCGUUAAGUAUCCCGCCUGGGGAGUACGGUCGCAAGACUAAAACUCAAAGGAAUUGACGGGACCCCGCACAAGCGGCGGAGCAUGCGGCUUAAUUCGAUGAUACCCGUAGAACCUUACCUGGACUUGACAUAUAGGGUCAAGCUAUAGAGAUAUAGUGUGCAUUAGCGCC
rnacentral:rRNA from 1 species